rnacentral:rRNA from 1 species
UACGUAGGGUGCGAUCGUUAAUCGGAAUUACUGGGCGUAAAGCGUGCGCAGGCGGUUCGCCAAGUCAGGUGUGAAAUCCCCGGGCUUAACCUGGGAAUUGCGCUUGAAACUAGCGGGCUUGAGUGUGGCAGAGGGGGGUGGAAUUCCACGUGUAGCAGUGAAAUGCGUAGAGAUGUGGAGGAACACCGAUGGCGAAGGCAGCCCCCUGGGUCAACACUGACGCUCAUGCACGAAAGCGUGGGGAGCAAACAGG